rnacentral:misc_RNA from 1 species
CUCAAGGCCUGUUCUGCUUUUGCUCUUCUCCAGUUUACCAUGCCUGGAGGACGACAUGCAACUCAUCACAUGAGCCUGUUGCAAAAUGCAGGAGCACCAAGGGCAUUGCGAGCUGUUGCUGCGGCAGCAUCAGCCCCCUUUGAAGCCAAAGUUUUUGCAAAAAUUGUGCUUCGGAACCUUGAGCACCACCCUAGGGAAGCCAAUUAGAAGCC